UCGCGGUGUAAGCUUGUCAGGGGAGUUCUGGGAGAUGUAGUUCCUCUUUCUCCUGCCAUCGUGCAUUCCCUCCGCCCCCUCCCCCAACCUCCUCACACACUUCAUCGAUCAACUGCCAGUGUCGUUACCAUCAACAUAAACGACGGUAGUAAAUAAUGGCAGUAUGAUUACAUUCAUACUUUAUGUACCACCCUCUCAACAGUGCUGCAAAGGCUGUUUGGAUAUGGAGGAGGCCAAAGUGGCAAUUACUCAGACUGGCGUCCAAAUCUGGAAAUUCCCACACCAGCAUGUUCUCUCCACUCUGCUCCCUCUUCAGAGGGAAUUGGUUUGCAGGGAUUUAGACUACAGUAAGGCUUCCCCAGAGCUUGCAAACAGGGUUCAUUUACCCUCUAUGCAAACAAGGUCAACAACUCCGGAACUGCAGUAGAAGCAGCAAAGAACAGAAAUAAUUUGAUACUAACAUCCUCAUUCUACAGAAUUUGAGGAGAAAUCUGUCAGCAGACGGGUAUGAAAAGACUUCUAGCCAUUUGCUAAAGAAAACUGAAGUUACUAUCGAGUCUGUUGGUUUGCUUUCCCCUUUCUCCCAUGUUUCAGCCGUUCAGAAUGUCAAUAAUUUACCCUAAGACAACAUCUGGAUCCCUUCAGGAGGUCAUCAUAUCUGCAGUCUCUUAAUACCUGGACCUAAAACUGUAAAGCCCUGCCCUGGAGACAUGGGCCUGUAGGUAGAGUGCUUGCCAUGUGGGCCGGAGUGCAGAUCCCUGCUCUUCCAGCGAAAGAAAGGGGAGCCAGAAAGCAAGAGAAUCUGCAGAAGCUCAAGGGCCAGGUGGCCUGGCAUUCCAGGUGGGAAGUAAAGAAGAGACAGUGCCACAAACGAGGUGAAAGGCAAGGACUGGUGUCCAUGGCUGUAUGCCUGAACUGACACCAUGAAUGUUUGCGCACUCACACACAUACACAAACAACAACAACAAUGAUCCUCCGAGCUCACUUCACAUGAUCUCUAUGUAACCUGGUCGUUGUGUCCUCACUAAGGACCGUGCAGCACAACUCAGUAGCAGCUUCCGUCUGGUUCAGAGAGAUGUUGCAACCUCUUUAGCACCACUGCAGGAUGGAUGAGUGUUCCCAUCUUUGAACUCCUCCAUUCUGAACUGACCGUGACCUGCUGCAGUUGCUGCCACCAGCCCCUACCAUUUCUCCUCCCGGACAGUCCUCCCUCCCACAGUUCCCAGCAAGCAUCCUUAAGGCCGCCUUCCCCUGGACAUUCCGAAGUCCUCCAGGCUUAGAUUUAUUGUCUGGUGUUAACUAUAGUCUGUAUCAUUUAUAUAUUUGCCUUUCUCCUCUUUCUAUUUUGUGUAUUUCAGGGGUCAGCCCCUUCCCUGUCUCUUCUGAGGAAAACACUUAUUUUUCCUGCAUUGGAGAACAAGACCCUAUUACCUCUAUUCACAAGUGACUGGGCCAGAGCUGGACAGAGAACUAAUUCAGCCAUCCACAGACAACUGCCAGGAUAGCUGUUUCACACCAAGAUAAACUGAAUGUGAUGGCUAAUCCUGGUUGUUAGCUUGACACACCCAAGAGGGAGCCUCCAUUGAAGCCUGGCCACUAUCAGGCUGGCCUGUGGGCACUUCUACUGGGGUAUUUUUUUGAUUGCUGAUUGAUAUAGGAGAGUCCAGUCCACUGUGGGCCUGGGCUGUGUAAAAAAGGUAGUUUGAAGGCUGGUGAGAUGGCUCAGCAGUUAAGAACACUGACUGCUCUUCUGAAGGUCCUGGGUUCAAAUCCCAGCAACCACAUGGCAGCUCACAACCAUCCCUAAUGAGAUCUGAUGUCCUCUUCUGGUGUGUCAGAAGACAGCUACAGUGUACUUAUUUAUAAUAAUAAAUAAAUCUUUGGGCCGGAGCAAGCAGGGCUCCACCAGAGCCGGUGGGGUUGAUUAGAGCGAGCAGAGGUCCUAAAUUCAAUUCCCAACAACCACAUGAUGGCUCACAACUAUCUGUACAAACCACAUGAUGGCUCACAACCAUCUGUACAGCUACAGUGUACUCAUAUA
rnacentral:lncRNA from 1 species